rnacentral:lncRNA from 1 species
AUGAGCACAUCCGUGCAGAAUGGGAUCGCUGGGGCUGGUGUCAAGACAGCGAACACCAGCGCCUGUGCUAAAGCCUGCCCUCCCUUGCAGUUCUCUUAAUGGACCAGCCAGUCCUCUGCCUGCCCAACACGUGACAGCUCUCAAAACAGCCCCCACCCCAUUUUCAAAAAUCAUUAAGCUGCAUGCAUAUUCUGAAAGACUGCACCGUCUUUGGAGAGUUGGGAUGGAAGCACAGCUGUCCUUUCCUCGACACAUUCCGUUCAGGUGGCCGUGGUUUUCCCAGGGGGUACUCGAGGCCACCGAAUGACGCAAGGAAGAUUAGCCCUGAGCUAACUGCUGAGGAAGACUGGCCCUGAGCUAACAUCUGUGCCCAUCUUCCUCUACUUUACAUGUGGGACGCCUACCACAGCAUGGCUUGCUAAGCGGUGCCAUGUCCGCACCCGGGAUCUGAACCGCAAACCCCGGGCUGCUGAAGCGGAAUGUGUGCACCUAACUGCUGCGCCACCAGGCCGGCCCCUGAUGAGGACUUCUAAGAUCUAUUCUCUUAGCAACUCUUAAAUAUUCAAUAAAGUAUUAUUAACUAUGGU